rnacentral:snRNA from 1 species
AUUGCUUCUUGGCUUUUGGCCAAGAUCAAGCAUAGUAUCUAUUCUUAUCAGUUUAAUAUCUGAUCCGUCCUCUCUCCAAGAGACAACAUAUUUAAUGGAUUUUUGGAGCAGAGAGAUGGAAUAGGAGCUUGCUCCAUCCACUCCAAGCAUCGGCCUGGUAUUGCAGUACGACACAAAAAAAGAAAGAAAG